rnacentral:rRNA from 1 species
GACGAACGCUGGCGGCGUGCUUAACACAUGCGAGUCGAACGGUAAGGCCCUGCUUUUGUGGGGUGCUCGAGUGGCGAACGGGUGAGUAACACGUGAGUAACCUGCCCUUGACUUUGGGAUAACUUCAGGAAACUGGGGCUAAUACCGGAUAGGAGCUCCUGCUGCAUGGUGGGGGUUGGAAAGUUUCGGCGGUUGGGGAUGGACUCGCGGCUUAUCAGCUUGUUGGUGGGGUAGUGGCUUACCAAGGCUUUGACGGGUAGCCGGCCUGAGAGGGUGACCGGCCACAUUGGGACUGAGAUACGGCCCAGACUCCUACGGGAGGCAGCAGUGGGGAAUAUUGCACAAUGGGCGGAAGCCUGAUGCAGCAACGCCGCGUGCGGGAUGACGGCCUUCGGGUUGUAAACCGCUUUCGCCUGUGACGAAGCGUGAGUGACGGUAAUGGGUAAAGAAGCACCGGCUAACUACGUG